rnacentral:lncRNA from 1 species
UGUUGUUGUUGUUGUUGUUGUAUACUUUGAGAUCGUAUACGCCAAAAAUCACAAAAAACAAACAUUUAGAGAUCAAUUAACGGGACAAAAAAUUUCAACUAUUAUAAACAAAAAUCACGAUUUAUCGGUUAUUUUAACUCCAAUUUUGAUGAUUUUUUACAACUACACUCCUUCACCCUAUAUGAAUACAAUGACAGAAUUCGAUUUUCAAUUUAAAAUAUUUACACUAGUAGAUACCACAAAAUCUUAUAUUAUACUUGAUGAAAGUAUAAAUAAACUCUUAAGUGUUAGUGAAUCUAUUGUUUUGGUGCGAUACGCAUUCUACGAAACUAGUUUUAACGAUCCAAUCGUCAAACUUAUUUGUAUAUAUUCAAGAUCGCAUACGACAAAAAACGCAAAAAACAAACAUUCAGAGGUCAAGUAACAGGACAAAACUUUUCGAUGGUUAUAAACGAAAAAUCAUGAUUUAACAGUUAUUUUAACUUCGAUUUUGAUGAUUUUUUUAUAGCUAUACUCCUUGACCCUAUAUAAAUACAAUGACUAAAUUUGAUCUUCAAUUUAAAAUAUUUACACUAGUGGAUACCACAAAAUUUUGUGUUAUACUUAAUGAAAGUAUAAAUAAACUCUAAGUGUUAAUGAAUCUAUUGUUUUGAUAGGAUACGCAUUUUACGAAACUAGUAUCAAUGAUCCAACCGUCAGAUUUAUUUGUAUAUACUUCAAGAUCGCAUAC